rnacentral:rRNA from 1 species
CCUACGGGAGGCUGCAGUGGGGAAUAUUGCACAAUGGGGGAAACCCUGAUGCAGCAACGCCGCGUGAGUGAGGAAGUCUUUCGGUAUGUAAAGCUCUAUCAGCAGGGAAUAGAAAAGAAGGUACCUGAAUAAGUAGCCCCGGCCAACUACGUGCCAGCAGCCGCGGUAAUACGUAGGGGGCAAGCGUUAUCCGGAUUUACUGGGUGUAAAGGGAGCGUAGACGGAAAGCCAAGUCAGCUGUGAAAGCUACGGGCUUAACUUGGAGACUGCAGUUGAAACUGGUUUUCUUGAGUGAAGUAGAGGUUGGCGGAAUUCCGGGUGUAGCGGUGAAAUGCGUAGAUAUUCGGAAGAACACCAGUGGCGAAGGCGGCCAACUGGGCUGUAACUGACGGUGAGGCUCGAAAGUGUGGGGAGCAAACAGGAUUAGAUACCCGAGUAGUC